ACUCCUACGGGAGGCAGCAGUGGGGAAUAUUGGACAAUGGGCGCAAGCCUGAUCCAGCAAUGCCGCGUGAGUGAUGAAGGCCUUAGGGUUGUAAAGCUCUUUUACCCGGGAUGAUAAUGACAGUACCGGGAGAAUAAGCCCGCUAGCUACCCGUGCCAGCAGCCGCGGUAAUACGGAGGGGGUAGCGUUGUUCGGAAUUACUGGGCGUAAAGCGCACGUAGGCGGCUUUGUAAGUUAGAGGUGAAAGCCUGGAGCUCAACUCCAGAACUGCCUUUAAGACUGCAUCGCUUGAAUCCAGGAGAGGUGAGUGGAAUUCCGAGUGUAGAGGUGAAAUUCGUAGAUAUUCGGAAGAACACCAGUGGCGAAGGCGGCUCACUGGACUGGUAUUGACGCUGAGGUGCGAAAGCGUGGGAGGCAAACAGGAUUAGAUACCCUGGUAGG
rnacentral:rRNA from 1 species